CGCCUCUUGCAAAACAUAAGAGGAUCCAGCCUGCCAGUGACAAGUUCCAACGGCCGCGGUACCCCUCCCCGUGCGCAGGUAGCAUAACUUACUUGUUCUUUAAAUGAGGACUCGUAUCAACGGCACCUACCGAGGGCCUAUACUGUCUCCUUUUUCUAAUCAGUGAAACUGAUCUCCCCGUGAAGAAGCGGGGAUCAAAAUAUAAGACGAGAAGACCCCAUGGAGCUUUAAACUCUCUGUGCACUUCUAUGCUCCCACACCAUCAGACAUAAGAAAACUGCACACUAGUUUUAGGUUGGGGGGACCACGGAGUACAAUUUAACCUCCAUAACAAAUGGGUUAAUCACCCUUAUCCACGAGACACACCUCUAAGAAUUAUUAUACUAAUGCUUAUGACCCGAUAUUCGAUCAAUGAACCAAGUUACCCUGGGGAUAACAGCGCAAUCUACUUCAAGAGCCCAUAUCGACAAGUAGGUUUACGACCUCGAUGUUGGAUCAGGGUAUCCGGUGGUGCAGCCGCUACCAAUGGUUCGUUUGUUCAACGAUUAAAACCCU
rnacentral:rRNA from 1 species